rnacentral:rRNA from 1 species
UGUCUGGGAAACUGCCUGAUGGAGGGGGAUAACUACUGGAAACGGUAGCUAAUACCGCAUAACGUCGCAAGACCAAAGAGGGGGACCUUCGGGCCUCUUGCCAUCAGAUGUGCCCAGAUGGGAUUAGCUAGUAGGUGGGGUAAUGGCUCACCUAGGCGACGAUCCCUAGCUGGUCUGAGAGGAUGACCAGCCACACUGGAACUGAGACACGGUCCAGACUCCUACGGGAGGCAGCAGUGGGGAAUAUUGCACAAUGGGCGCAAGCCUGAUGCAGCCAUGCCGCGUGUGUGAAGAAGGCCUUCGGGUUGUAAAGCACUUUCAGCGAGGAGGAAGGUGGUGAGCUUAAUACGCUCAUCAAUUGACGUUACUCGCAGAAGAAGCACCGGCUAACUCCGUGCCAGCAGC